UACGUAGGGGGCUAGCGUUGUCCGGAAUCAUUGGGCGUAAAGAGCGUGUAGGCGGUCCGGUAAGUCCGCUGUGAAAGUCGGGGGCUCAACCCUCGAAUGCCGGUGGAUACUGUCGGGCUAGAGUGCGGAAGAGGCGAGUGGAAUUCCUGGUGUAGCGGUGAAAUGCGCAGAUAUCAGGAGGAACACCUAUUGCGAAGGUAGGUCGCUGGGACGUAACUGACGCUGAGACGCGAAAGCGUGGGGAGCAAACAGG
rnacentral:rRNA from 1 species